AUGUGUUUCUGUGCACAGGGCAGCGGGCGUGGUCUGCACGCAGUUUCCGCCCACAAAGAGUCCCAGACCUGAUGGUGUCAGAAAAGGGCGCUCAAUGCAACUUCAGCAGGCAGCAUGCAACCUGCAGGACGCACAGCUGAGCAGUUCUCACACAACUUCUGCUCACGGAUGACCGAGUUGCUUUCUGCGAGGCAUCAUGUCUAAGCGGUGAGUCAUAAAAAGGUCUGUAUGUGUUAGAUCUAUGAACUUUAUAUCUGUGUAAAAAAGUAUGCUCAAUUUCUGCAGAAAAAAUUUAAUAUCCAGCUCACUGGGGUUCGUGUAAAAGGAGCAAAGAUUCAUAAUCACGUUUACGACAUUAACUUUAUAAAUGUAUAAAAAUGUGUAGAAGAAGAAGGAAAAACUUCUAGUUAUUUUGGAGCUAGUAUAUAGUUACAUAGAGUUUUCAUUUAAAAAUACAAUAAAAUCAGUUUUAUUCAGAAAUAAGAAACUGGGAUCAGAUGUGAUUGAUCUUUCAUAACCAGCUUAAAGCUUUAAAUCACUGUUAAAAAUGAAUGAAUCAAAAUAAAUUACAAGAAUGUAUAAAGCGCCAGUUAAAAAGAUUUUCCGCCAUAUAACUUAAAAGACAAGCAGUACUGACUAGAAAUGUGUGAUUAAUAAAACUAUCAAUCAGCACAGUCCAAACACAGUGCCAGGAAGGAAGGAAGGAAGGAAGGAAGGAAGGAAGGAAGGAAGGAAGGAAGGAAGGAAGGAAGGAAGGAAGGAAGGAAGGAAGGAAGGAAGGAAGGAAGGAAGGAAGGAAGGAAGGAAGGAAAUGUAUAAAUAAAAAAUAUUUCUCUCUUGUGUGUGUGUUUCUUCAUUUAAAUGCUCAAUAAAUCAUUUUUUUGUGUGGCGUGUUUUCUUUUUUCAUGCAAAACACAUCAAUGGGACACGUAGUUAUUUUGUGUAAAUAAGAAUGCAGAUGGGAUUUUGCAUUUUCACGGUGUAUCAGGUUUUCAAUGCAAAAUAUAAAAGUUAACCUUGGCUUCAUGCUUUUACACUUUUAUCAGCCUCCAAACAGAAUGUAAUGCUGGAUCCGUCAUCAUAUAUCUUGUUGGGCUAUAUAAAAAAUACCUACAUUAAUAUAACGGAUUUUGCAAAUUAAAUAAAAAAAUAAACCUCCAACACUAAUAGACGUCUGAUUGCACGCGCCUCAGUUCACCACCAAAAGCAAUUUGCACGCGCCAAUCGGUUGAUGGUUUGCAGACGAGGCGGAAUGAGCUUAUCUGCACUUUCAAGAGCAAUUUUAAGACCCACUUGGAAACGUUAAAAAAAAAAAAAAAAAAAAAACUGGAAUAGACCUGCUUAUUGUUACCACUAAUUGAUUUUUUAAAAAUGUUUUAUCUUAUUUAAUGUAUGACAGGUUCUAAAUCUGAUUUGGUGAAUCCGAAAGUCAUAAUAAACUAUAUUUGUAAAAUGUAGCUCCAUGUGAGAUUUUUUUUGUAAUAUUAUUAUUAUUGAAACCACAUAAUAAAUCAGCCUAUUGGUAUUAUCGUUCAAGGGCUCUGAACUUGAUCCGAGGGGAUCCUGGUUUGAAUUUUCCCGGGCAGGAGCAGAUGUGAGAAAACAAUAGAUGGGGCCCACGCCCUGAAUAAAUGAGAUUCAUUUGAAUAACAGUCUCACGUCUGACGCGUGCGAGGAAUAUCCCAGCUUCCCAGGCUCAUGGUGGGAAAAAUAAAAAUGAAAAACCGUUGACGGAACCCCACCCCCACUCAACCUUGUUCACUUCAAUUGGGAAUUAACUGUUGACUGGUUCAAAGAGGGGGAGAAGCGCUUUAAGGAAGGCUGGGAAAACACUUCACAAUAUUAGAGGCCGUCAAAAGCUGCAGCUGCACCAUAGAAACGGCUUGCUUUAAAUAUAAUGAUGGAGUCAUAAUGUAUAUUUCAGGCAGCAAGGAAGAGGUAAUAGGCCUACAUUAUAUGCAAACAAAUGAACUAUUUGUUUGGUUUCUGAUUUAAAAUUAGAAAUGUUUCCAAGUGAAAAAUAAAA